rnacentral:rRNA from 1 species
UCCUGGCUCAGAACGAACGCUGGCGGCAUGCCUAACACAUGCAAGUCGAACGAGACCUUCGGGUCUAGUGGCGCACGGGUGCGUAACGCGUGGGAAUCUGCCCUUUGCUUCGGAAUAACAGUUAGAAAUGACUGCUAAUACCGGAUGAUGUCUUCGGACCAAAGAUUUAUCGGCAAAGGAUGAGCCCGCGUAGGAUUAGGUAGUUGGUGGGGUAAAGGCCUACCAAGCCGACGAUCCUUAGCUGGUCUGAGAGGAUGAUCAGCCACACUGGGACUGAGACACGGCCCAGACUCCUACGGGAGGCAGCAGUGGGGAAUAUUGGACAAUGGGCGAAAGCCUGAUCCAGCAAUGCCGCGUGAGUGAUGAAGGCCUUAGGGUUGUAAAGCUCUUUUACCCGGGAUGAUAAUGACAGUACCGGGAGAAUAAGCUCCGGCUAACUCCGUG